rfam:Sarcophilus harrisii ctg7180001506776, whole genome shotgun sequence.
GCCAGAGCAUGACGAGCUGCGCAGAAACCCCCCGGGGCCGCGCAGGUCCGAGCUCCCCUGGC